GGCAUAGUAGCUCAGCGGUAGAGCAAUCGGUUCAUACCCGAUCGGUCACUGGUUCAAAUCCAGUCUGUGCCA
rnacentral:tRNA from 1 species